rnacentral:rRNA from 1 species
UACGGAAGGGGCAAGCGUUGUUCGGAAUCAUUGGGCGUAAAGGGCGCGUAGGUGGUUCUGUAUGUCUACCGUGAAAGCGUACGGCUCAACCGUAUUUUGUCGGUAGAGACUGCAGGACUUGAGGCUGGGAGGGGCUGGUGGAAUUCCCUGUGUAGCGGUGAAAUGCGUAGGGAUGGGGGAGAACACUCGUGGCGAAGGCGGCCAGCUAGACCAGUUCUGACACUGAGGCGCGACAGCGUGGGGAGCAAACAGG